rnacentral:rRNA from 1 species
GACAGAGGCCACAAACGUUAGGCGGAAUCACUGGGCUUAAAGCGUGUGUAGGCGGAUCGUUAAGUGCUUUGUGAAAUCCCCCGGCUCAACCGGGGAAUUGCUUGGCAUACUGGCGAUCUUGAGCCACCUAGGGGCAACUGGAACAAGCGGUGGAGCGGUGAAAUGCGUAGAUAUCGCUUGGAACGCCAAAGGUGAAAACAGGUUGCUGGGGGUGUGCUGACGCUGAGACACGAAAGCCAGGGGAG